rnacentral:rRNA from 1 species
UACAGAGGUCUCAAGCGUUGUUCGGAUUCAUUGGGCGUAAAGGGUGCGUAGGUGGCGGGGUAAGUCAGACGUGAAAUCCCUCGGCUUAACCGGGGAACUGCGUCUGAUACUGGAUGGCUUGAGUUUGGGAGAGGGAUGCGGAAUUCCAGGUGUAGCGGUGAAAUGCGUAGAUAUCUGGAGGAACACCGGUGGCGAAGGCGGCAUCCUGGACCAACACUGACACUGAGGAGCGAAAGCCAGGGGAGCAAACGGG